UAUAUAUAUAUAUAUAUAUAUAUAUAUAUAUAUAUAUAUAUAUAUAUAUAUAUAUAUAUAUAUAUAUAUAAUAUUAUUACUAUUAUUUUUAUUAGUGUAGCGGGUAGGGGAUUGAGACUGGAAGUGUACCUUUAAGGCCUAAUCACUGGCGCUGAUCAUUUGGAUCAGGUGGCGUAAGUGACGCGUCCCUUUAAAUGUGUUGCAAGACAUGAACAGAAAAACAUUAAUGCGGUGUGAGUUGAAGAGUGAGCCUCUUGGUGUAUCGUCUGUGCAAACAGGAGAAUGUGAGUUUUCUUGGAAGGUUAUGUCGAUUUAAUAUUGAACUUAAUGAGAACCGCUUAACACGGCUCGUUUGUUUGUUUGCUUGUAGUUCGGCUUGGUGUCUGCGUGUAUGGUAACCAGUAAAUGGUGCCAGUAGUCACGAGUCUACAGACUAUUGCAAAAUAGUGAGUAGUGAUUCUACAUGGGGUUUGAAGUAACGAGUAACAUCGAGGAGAGUGUCCAUUAAUCAUUCAUGCCGUUUAACUUUAUUGUUAAAGAGUAUAUAGUUCUUACUGAUUUGGGCUGGUGUCAAAAGAAAUGAGGAUUGCCUUCGUCGGCCACUAGCUACUGUUUUUCCUGGGUUUAAUAAUAGUGUUUCAUUUUGUAUUUUUUUCAUAUGUGUGUCUGUUUGGCAAUUGUCAUCAUUCAACCUUUGGCCAUGGGCAUUGUGCAAUAUUUCCUCUAGGGACCGUGUCCAUCUUGCAAUGUUUACUGGUGUGAAGUGUGAAAUGCUGUGUUAAUGUACGUAUGGCCAAUUUUGUUUGAAGUGUUUCUUGCAGUGUUGGAGUGUAUGUGAACCGUACCUAUAUAUCUGACUUUAUUCACUGUAGUUUAGGCAUUGUAGAUUUUUAUAUCUUGUAACUCAUUUAUUAUGAGAUUUUUUAUUCACUGUGAUUAAUCUAUUGUAGAAUUGUUCACUGUUACCUAUGGGAAACAUCUGUCUGCUCUGAUUGCCAAUCAUUGUAUUGUCUAGUGUUUAAUAAAAUUUAGUACAUCAGUCCCAUUUUUAUCCCUUCAUUGGAGAUAACCUGUUCAAAUAGCUUGCAGGGGAGUGCUGUUUGGGGUUUUCUACUCUAGAUAUACAAAUUGUGAGACUGAGCACGCCCCUAGGGGUCACAUUAUUAUUAAAAAUAUUGUCUUUCUACAGAGCCUCACUCAUGACACGCAAGAAGAUAAAUAAAUUGUGCCCACGAUUUACUAAUUCGUUCCCAUAACUAGUGCACACGAUUACUAUUGU
rnacentral:lncRNA from 1 species